UAAUACAUCGGAACGUACCUUAUCGUGGGGGAUAACGCAGCGAAAGCUGUGCUAAUACCGCAUACGCCCUGAGGGGGAAAGCGGGGGAUCGAAAGACCUCGCGCGAUUAGAGCGGCCGAUGCCUGAUUAGCUUGUUGGUGGGGUAAAAGCCCACCAAGGCGACGAUCAGUAGCUGGUCUGAGAGGACGAUCAGCCACACUGGGACUGAGACACGGCCCAGACUCCUACGGGAGGCAGCAGUGGGGAAUUUUGGACAAUGGGGGCAACCCUGAUCCAGCAAUGCCGCGUGAGUGAAGAAGGCCUUCGGGUUGUAAAGCUCUUUUGUCAGGGAAGAAACACCGGCUCUAACACAGUCCGGGAAUGACGGUACCUGAAGAAUAAGCACCGGGUAACUACGUGCCAGCAGCCGCGGUAAUACGUAGGGUGCGAGCGUUAAUCGGAAUUACUGGGCGUAAAGCGUGCGCAGGCGGUUAUACAAGACAGGCGUGAAAUCCCCGGGCUUAACCUGGGAAUGGCGCCUGUGACUGUAUAGCUAGAGUGUGUCAGAGGGGGGUAGAAUUCCACGUGUAGCAGUGAAAUGCGUAGAUAUGUGGAGGAAUACCAAUGG
rnacentral:rRNA from 1 species